rnacentral:rRNA from 1 species
UACGGAGGGUGCAAGCGUUGUCCGGAUUUAUUGGGUUUAAAGGGUGCGUAGGCGGCCAUUUAAGUCUGGGGUGAAAGCCCGUUGCUCAACAACGGAACUGCCCUGGAAACUGGAUGGCUUGAGUACAGACGAGGGUGGCGGAAUGGAUGGUGUAGCGGUGAAAUGCAUAGAUACCAUCCAGAACCCCGAUUGCGAAGCAGCUGCCUAGACUGUAACUGACGCUGAGGCACGAAAGCGUGGGGAGCGAACAGG